AUUGAACGCUGGCGGCAGGCCUAACACAUGCAAGUCGAGCGGAUGAAGGGAGCUUGCUCCUGGAUUCAGCGGCGGACGGGUGAGUAAUGCCUAGGAAUCUGCCUGGUAGUGGGGGAUAACGUCCGGAAACGGGCGCUAAUACCGCAUACGUCAUGAGGGAGAAAGUGGGGGAUCUUCGGACCUCACGCUAUCAGAUGAGCCUAGGUCGGAUUAGCUAGUUGGUGGGGUAAAGGCCUACCAAGGCGACGAUCCGUAACUGGUCUGAGAGGAUGAUCAGUCACACUGGAACUGAGACACGGUCCAGACUCCUACGGGAGGCAGCAGUGGGGAAUAUUGGACAAUGGGCGAAAGCCUGAUCCAGCCAUGCCGCGUGUGUGAAGAAGGUCUUCGGAUUGUAAAGCACUUUAAGUUGGGAGGAAGGGCAGUAAGUUAAUACCUUGCUGUUUUGACGUUACCAACAGAGUAAGCACCGGCUAACUUCGUG
rnacentral:rRNA from 1 species